rnacentral:rRNA from 1 species
ACGCUCGACACCUACGGGAGACAGCAGUGGGGAAUAUUGCACAAUGGGCGAAAGCCUGAUGCAGCAACGCCGCGUGAGCGAAGAAGGCCUUCGGUCGUAAAGCUCUGUCCUCAAGGAAGAUAAUGACGGUACUUGAGGAGGAAGCCCGGCUAACUACGUGCCAGCAGCCGCGGUAAUCUGAGCGGGCUGGCAAGGC